AGAGCCUGCGCAGUUCCCCUCAAAGCCAGGGGCUCUAGGGAUGUUGUGUCCAGAAUGUCUGUGGGUUUUGCCACAGCCACACAUGAAAGCCCGAGGUAAGGAAAUCAGCCUAUAACGGGGAAGAGCAGCUUACCUGUGAAGGUGAGGAUGAAAUCCGCAUUAAUACUUCUGUCCUGCCAGCUACAGGCAUAUGGAUGGGUCCGCCAGGGGCUAAUGCGCACAACUCAAUACUCUUCAGACAUUCAUCGAGUACCUCCCAGGCUGGAUGAUGGACUGGAUCUGAGAACCAGGAGAGUCACCCUGAAGCCGAUGGUUGAAACAUCUCUGCAGCUGCUGGCACAGGUCUCGGGAUGGGAUGUCUCUGCUUCGCCAGACUGCCUGCUCCCCCGUAGGUGAGAAAGUUCUCAGAGUUCCUGCUCUGGCACAGUGGGUUAAGGAUGCAACAGUCCUGCAGUUGUGGCAUAGGUCACAGCUGCGGCUAGGAUUCAAUCCCUGGCUUGAGAACUUCCAUAGUCUGUGGGUACACCUGAAAAAGAAAAAAAGAAAAAGAAAAAGAAAAGGAAAACUCUCGUUCACUUUGACCAGCAAGCUCUCUCCCUGAGCCCUUCUUUAUUGGUCCCAGGGCCACAGAGCACAAUCCUCAACCCCUACCCAUUAGCCUUUUGAAUGUUGAUGUCCCCAGAGUCUUUUCUCCUCCAAGUAAAAAACUCUUUUUUUUUUUUUUUUUUUUUUUUUUUUUUUUUUGUCUUUUCAGGGCUGCACCCAUGGCGUAGGGAAGUUUCCAGGCUAGGGGUCGGUUGAGCUGCAACUGCUAGCCUACGCCACAGCCACAGCCACGCCUGAUCUGAGCUGCCUUUGUAACCUACACCACAGUUCACGGCAGCGCUACUACACCACUAAGUGAGACCAGGGAUCGAACCUGCGUCCUCAUGGAGACGAGUUGGGUUUGUUACUGCAGAGCCACAGUGGGAACUCCGAGUAAAACACUUUUUUAAGUUCUUGUGAUUACCCUCGCCAGCUGAUGUUACUUCCUCUCCCUUCCUGCGGUCUGAAUAUGCCCAGAGGCAGCUGGUUGGUGUGGGGGAGGGGAAGCCCAGAGGGAAAGGUAAGGAGGUGAGAGGAAGCAGGCCAGGGACCAGCUUGGGAAGCUCAGCUGUCCCCGCUCCUUCUGCAGCAUCACCCUUCAAGGGCUCCAGCUCAGCCGUUCCAGGGCUGGACUUGUUCUCGUCAAGGUUCAAGUUUUACUUCCUCUUCCUUUGCUGUUCACCCUCAUCUUGUGGGAUGCUGGCUUGAGACAGGGCAUCAGGAGAGCGGAAGGACAGAGUGUGGUUCACCUUCUACCUUGGCCACUCACCUGGAGGGCAAGGUGACUGGCUUCGGGGAGACACAGGCUCCU
rnacentral:lncRNA from 1 species